rnacentral:rRNA from 1 species
UUCCAGACUCCUACGGGAGGCAGCAGUGGGGAAUAUUGGGCAAUGGAGGGAACUCUGACCCAGCAACGCCGCGUGAAGGAUGAAGGUUUUCGGAUUGUAAACUUCUGUCGCGAGGGAUGAAGAAUGACGGUACCUCGUAAGAAAGCCCCGGCAAACUACGCGCCAGCAGCCGCGGUAAUACGUAGGGGGCGAGCGUUGUCCGGAAUGACUGGGCGUAAAGGGAGUGUAGGCGGCCUUUUAAGUUAUGUGUGAAAGCCCACGGCUCAACUGUGGAAUUGCACAUAAAACUGGGAGGCUGGAGUGCAGGAGAGGUAAGCGGAAUUUCCAGUGUAGCGGUGGAAUGCGUAGAUAUUGGGAAGAACACCGGAGGCGAAGGCGGCUUACUGGACUGUAACUGACGCUGAGGCUCGAAAGCGUGGGGAGCAAACAGGAUUAGAUACCCUCGUAC